rnacentral:rRNA from 1 species
UAAUACGGAGGAUGCGAGCGUUAUCCGGAUUUAUUGGGUUUAAAGGGUGCGUAGGCGGUUUCUUAAGUCAGCGGUGAAAGUAUUCGGCUCAACCGGAUAAUUGCCGUUGAAACUGGGAGACUUGAGUUUAGAAGAGGUAUGCGGAAUGCGUGGUGUAGCGGUGAAAUGCAUAGAUAUCACGCAGAACUCCAAUUGCGAAGGCAGCAUGCUGGACUAACACUGACGCUGAUGCACGAAAGCGUGGGGAUCAAACAGG